rnacentral:snRNA from 1 species
GGAUGUGAAGUUGAUCUGGCUGUGACAUCUGUUCCCCCCCCCCCACCCCACACACACUGAUUACCAGGACUGAUCUGGCUGUUGGGCAAGUGCCCCCUUUUCCCUCACUGUUUCAUGUGUGUCCCUCCGAAAGCUGCCUGCUCAUUUGAAAAAGGACAGUCUUCCCCAAAUACAGAUGAACUGGUCCUCAAUGGAAGGUAUGCAAGUAGCUGCUCACACUGCUAGGACCUCCAAGCAAGCUCUCAGGAAUAAAAGGACAGCCCUGUGCAUUGUCUGAGGCAACCAAAGGCACAGCUAGGGAGCUGGCUGGGCCUUU